AUUGAACGCUGGCGGCAUGCCUUACACAUGCAAGUCGAACGGCAGCACGGACUUCGCUCUGGUGGCGAGUGGCGAACGGGUGAGUAAUGCAUCGGAACGUACCCUUCAGUGGGGGAUAACGUAGCGAAAGUUACGCUAAUACCGCAUACUCUGUGAGCAUGAAAGCAGGGGAUCGUAAGACCUUGCGCGGUUGGAGCGGCCGAUGUCAGAUUAGCUAGUUGGUGGGGUAAAGGCCUACCAAGGCGACGAUCUGUAGCGGGUCUGAGAGGAUGAUCCGCCACACUGGAACUGAGACACGGUCCAGACUCCUACGGGAGGCAGCAGUGGGGAAUUUUGGACAAUGGGCGCAAGCCUGAUCCAGCCAUGCCGCGUGCAGGAAGAAGGCCUUCGGGUUGUAAACUGCUUUUGUACGGGACGAAAAGGCUUAGGCUAAUACCCGGGGUUGAUGACGGUACCGGAAUAAGAAGCACCGGCUAACUACGUG
rnacentral:rRNA from 1 species